GGAAGAUCUUUCACGCACAAAACCAGCACACAUCUACUUUCUCUAAUUUUUUUAUCACAUAAAAAAAAUCUUCCAUACCCCAAUCUAAAGAAUUUCUAUCUUAUUUUGAAUCAAAUUUAAAUAAAAAAAUUUUAAUGAAAAAAAAAUCCAGAUAAGGUGGGAUGCCAACUAUUGGUGCCCCCUCUCCUUUCACGUGCAUGAGA
rnacentral:lncRNA from 1 species